ensembl:lncRNA
AUGCAGAUCGAGUAAAUAGAUCAAACAGCUGGGCUGUAAGGCAGUAUUUAAUUUUAUGGUGAUAAUUGUGAAAUUCUGUACAUGUUUAUGUGUUUAUUGUGGAAUUAAUCAGUGUUUAAAAUCACACUGACCUUUCAAUCCCACAGAUCAGUGCAGUGUUCUUUAGCUUCCAUGGGACAUGCCAAAAGUCACGGGACAUGAUACUAGUUCCUAAGAGUUCCUAAUGAGUUUUUUUUAAUAUCAGUGUAUUUGAGAAUUUGAUCCUAAUUUCUAAACUAAUGUAGUGUCUGUUUAUCUUUUGGAAGAGAUUAAAAGCGAGAGUGAAGUGUCUUCAGAUACAAAGAGUAAGUUACUGUUACACUAUCACUGUAUUCAAAAUCAGUAAAAACUUUAUUUCAGUGAAGAAAUUGGUGUGAAAAUGUUCUUCUCUGGUUCUUUUAAGGUGAUACCAGCAAGGACGAGACCACCAGCGGGCCGGAUUCAGUAGGUACGACAGAACCAGAGCAGCUGAUGAUGAAACUGUAAGCUCAGGGUCAGAGUGAUGAAUUCCUGUGUUUUUCUCCAGAUUCUGGUGAAGGCGUGGUGGAGAAGAAGGACCCAGAUACACCAGAUGAAAGCUCAUCAGCAGAGAAGAAGAAGGACGAGACAGAAACAGGAAGUGAUUCUCCAGACACAGACUCUGCUUCUAAAGCAUCUCAGGAAACAGACUCUCCAGAUGGAGCAGAGAAGGACGCUGAUGAUAAGACUGAUACGGAUAAAGAUUCUUCCAGUAAGGAGCAGUCAGACACCGACUCAGCGGAUCAGAAGGAUUCCUCAGAGGACACAUCGGAUACACCUGAUGCUGCAGACAAAGAAACUUUUGACUCAAACGAGUCAGACAAGGACAAGACAGAUACCAGCAAUGACACGGAGAAGGACAGUAAGGAGAAGGACAGUAAGGAGAAGGACAGAGACGUGGAGGAUUCAGACACUCCCGACAAAGAAGUAAAGGACACUGAUAAAGACAGCAGCGAGACUGAAGACACUGACGAGAAGGAGAAGAGUGAUAAAUCAGGUGCAGACAAAACAGAUCCUGAUCGCUCUUCAGAAAAAGGAGACAGCAAGGACGAUACUGAUGCUGAAGACAAGGACAGGGACCGUGACACAGCAGAUACUGCAGACGCAACAGAAACCAAGGACAGCACUGAAGACACGAGCAGAGACAGGGACACAGAUAGUGACAAAGACAGCAAAAAAGACAGUGACAAGGACAACGAAAAAGACAGUGACAAAGACAGCAAUAAAGACAGCGACAAAGACAACGAUAAAGACAGCGACAAAGACAACGAUAAAGACAGCGACAAAGACAACGAUAAAGACAGCGACAAAGACAACGAUAAAUACAGUGAUGGGGACAGAGAUGGAGACAAAGAUAAGGACAGUGAUGGAGACAAAGACAAGGACAGCGAUGGAGACAAAGACAGGGACAGUGACAUAGACAGUGAUAUAGACAGUGACGGAGACAGCAAAUCGGACAGCGAUGCAGACAGCGAUGCAGACAGUGGCGUAGACAGCACAGGUCCAAAAGGCGAGGAUGAAGGUUUAGACAAGGACAAGGACAGCUCACACAAGACCAGCGACGACACCAGCAACGACAGCAAUGAGGGAAAAGAGAUCGAGAGGGAAACCACGACUGAAAACGAAGACAAAGACUCUGAGAAAUCUAAAGAGACCGCCGAAGAACCGUCUUCUGUAGACUCCCAGGAAAGCCAAAAGACCGCCUCCUCCAGCUCAGACUCCUCCCACUCCUCAAGCAAAGAAAACAACCAGGACCAGGAGAAGAGCAGCGCCGAGUCCACUGAUAAAGACAGCUCAGACAGUUCGGACCGGGACAGCACCGAGACCGAGGGAGAGGGUGAGAUUCAGAUUCUUAUUUUUGAGAAGAUGCAGGCGGUGGUUGAUAUGGUAACAUGUUUAUCUCCACAGUUGCAGAUGACAGUGACAGCAGCCCAGAGACGGAGACGUCAGGUAAACUGAAAAUUCCUGCUACACUUUCUAACAUACCUGUAAACUCAGCGGUAAAAUGACAGUGAUAAUAACAGUGUUCACUCAUUUUCUAUAUAUAUAUAAAGUUAUUUAUUAUUAAUAAUAUAAUCUUAUUAAUAAUUACUACAUUUUGUAAAAUUCUGUUUUUACCUUGUCGUUUCGGAAUUGAGGGCACAAUAAUGGGGAAAUUGUUUAUUAAAGCCGCUAUGUAACAAAAUGUGACAAAAGUGAAAAAAAAAGUGAAAAGUGAGUUUUAUACACAUUCUAAGUUUAUCAUCUGCACAUAAAAAACUGGUAACUGGCAGAACGUCUUUCUGCAGACAUCUCAGGAGAAGACUCUGACAGUGAUUCCACUGGUGAGACAGAGUCGAUAUCUCUCACGCCAGUGUCUUCCUAAUCGAGUUUAAUAAUCAUCUUCUUAUCUCUUCCCUACAGAUGAAAACGACAACAGCGACUCGAUGGACGCAACAGAGUCGACGUCACAUGGUAAUAUUUCACAAUCAGAGUGUAACGGUUCAGCUGUAUAUAAAAGUGCAGGUUUUAAAACAGUGCUGUUUUUGCUCUUUUAGAUGAGACCACUGAUGAAGAGACGGACACAGACACUACUGGUGCGUAAUUGGACGAGUGGGAGUUUAGACUGUACAGUCUGCUGCAUGUUGGGUUGAUUUUGCAACAAAACAUAAUAGCAGAUAAUUAGAGUUAAAAUCAAAGGUGGAAUUCAGAACUUCAAAGUAGUUCUGGGGAGACAGAAUAACAUUAAUUACGUAUAGAGUGUAUAAUUACCUGUCUGGGAAAAGGGAAAAGCUUCUGUAAUGCAGUAUUCUGUCUGUUUUCUCCUUCUGAUGGAUGAAGACGAUGCAGGCGACACAGUGCAGGAAGACCCUCCAGGUAAACACUACCCUCCUGCAAUAUUAUACAAAAAGCAGAAGGCGAGGCGUCUGUGAGCAGAUGUAUCAGAACUGAGCCGCUGUGUUUUCCUCAGAGAGCCCUAACCACUCAGGCAAUGAUCAUCAGCAGCAGCUCGAAAAAAGGGGUGACCGAUUUCACACGUAUCGGAGGAGGCGUGUGCUCGUCCACAUCCUCCUACAGUCGCCACUGGUGAUGGGGACUCACAAAGGGGUGGGACAAUUGGAUAACCAAAUUGGGAGAAAAAAUGGAAAAACAUGAAAUAAAUAAUAAUAAAAAAAUUAUAUAUUAAGCA